rnacentral:rRNA from 1 species
AUGCUGGAGGUAUCAGAAGUGCGAAUGCUGACAUAAGUAACGAUAAAGCGGGUGAAAAGCCCGCUCGCCGGAAGACCAAGGGUUCCUGUCCAACGUUAAUCGGGGCAGGGUGAGUCGACCCCUAAGGCGAGGCCGAAAGGCGUAGUCGAUGGGAAACAGGUUAAUAUUCCUGUACUUGGUGUUACUGCGAAGGGGGGACGGAGAAGGCUAUGUUGGCCGGGCGACGGUUGUCCCGGUUUAAGCGUGUAGGCUGGUUUUCCAGGCAAAUCCGGAAAAUCAAGGCUGAGGCGUGAUGACGAGGCACUACGGUGCUGAAGCAACAAAUGCCCUGCUUCCAGGAAAAGCCUCUAAGCAUCAGGUAACAUCAAAUCGUACCCCAAACCGACACAGGUGGUCAGGUAGAGAAUACCAAGGCGCUUGAGAGAACUCGGGUGAAGGAACUAGGCAAAAUGGUGCCGUAACUUCGGGAGAAGGCACGCUGAUAUGUAGGUGAAGUCCCUCGCGGAUGGAGCUGAAAUCAGUCGAAGAUACCAGCUGGCUGCAACUGUUUAUUAAAAACACAGCACUGUGCAAACACGAAAGUGGACGUAUACGGUGUGACGCCUGCCCGGUGCCGGAAGGUUAAUUGAUGGGGUUAGCGCAAGCGAAGCUCUUGAUCGAAGCCCCGGUAAACGGCGGCCGUAACUAUAACGGUCCUAAGGUAGCGAAAUUCCUUGUCGGGUAAGUUCCGACCUGCACGAAUGGCGUAAUGAUGGCCAGGCUGUCUCCACCCGAGACUCAGUGAAAUUGAACUCGCUGUGAAGAUGCAGUGUACCCGCGGCAAGACGGAAAGACCCCGUGAACCUUUACUAUAGCUUGACACUGAACAUUGAGCCUUGAUGUGUAGGAUAGGUGGGAGGCUUUGAAGUGUGGACGCCAGUCUGCAUGGAGCCGACCUUGAAAUACCACCCUUUAAUGUUUGAUGUUCUAACGUUGACCCGUAAUCCGGGUUGCGGACAGUGUCUGGUGGGUAGUUUGACUGGGGCGGUCUCCUCCUAAAGAGUAACGGAGGAGCACGAAGGUUGGCUAAUCCUGGUCGGACAUCAGGAGGUUAGUGCAAUGGCAUAAGCCAGCUUGACUGCGAGCGUGACGGCGCGAGCAGGUGCGAAAGCAGGUCAUAGUGAUCCGGUGGUUCUGAAUGGAAGGGCCAUCGCUCAACGGAUAAAAGGUACUCCGGGGAUAACAGGCUGAUACCGCCCAAGAGUUCAUAUCGACGGCGGUGUUUGGCACCUCGAUGUCGGCUCAUCACAUCCUGGGGCUGAAGUAGGUCCCAAGGGUAUGGCUGUUCGCCAUUUAAAGUGGUACGCGAGCUGGGUUUAGAACGUCGUGAGACAGUUCGGUCCCUAUCUGCCGUGGGCGCUGGAGAACUGAGGGGGGCUGCUCCUAGUACGAGAGGACCGGAGUGGACGCAUCACUGGUGUUCGGGUUGUCAUGCCAAUGGCACUGCCCGGUAGCUAAAUGCGGAAGAGAUAAGUGCUGAAAGCAUCUAAGCACGAAACUUGCCCCGAGAUGAGUUCUCCCUGACUCCUUGAGAGUCCUGAAGGAACGUUGAAGACGACGACGUUGAUAGGCCGGAUGUGUAAGCGCAGCGAUGCGUUGAGCUAACCGGUACUAAUGAACCGUGAGGCUUAACCUU